UUAUUAAUUGGUCGGCAUUUUGAACUGGCAACGACGAGAUUGAGCUCAGAGGGCUUCGGCAAUGGCGACUUGUGUGUCUGGCAUUGGGACUAAUCCUAUCGUUGUUGGCUCCCAUUAUUAGCAGCUGGGUUCCAUUUUAUUACAGCAGUUCAAUGGCUAUAGGAGUCUUGUUAUUAUAAUCCUUCUUUUUCAGAAGAAAAAAUAUCUAUUACCUUGCCGUAUCUGGAUAUGUGGUGAGCUUACCUUAAUCAUGGCCUUGUUGAUCACCAUCAAGUCUCCAUGUUUAAGAAAAAAAAAUUAACAGGUGAUGUUAUUUCUUCUUAUUUAAAAAAGGUGUUGAUGUUAUUACUACGUGUCGGUUCAGCCUGGAGCUAG